AACGAACGCUGGAGGCAGGCUCAACACAUGCAAGUCGAGCGCCCCGCAAGGGGAGCGGCAGACGGGUGAGUAACGCGUGGGAAUCUACCCAUCUCUACGGAAUAACGCAUGGAAACGUGUGCAAAUACCGUAUACGUCCUUCGGGAGAAAGAUUUAUCGGAGAUGGAUGAGCCCGCGUUGGAUUAGCUAGUUGGUGAGGUAAAAGCCUACCAAGGCGACGAUCCAUAGCUGGUCUGAGAGGAUGAUCAGCCACACUGGGACUGAGACACGACCCAGACUCCUACGGGAGGCAGCAGUGGGGAAUAUUGGACAAUGGGCGCAAGCCUGAUCCAGCCAUGCCGCGUGAGUGAUGAAGGCGCUAGGGUUGUAAAGCUCUUUCACCGGUGAAGAUAAUGACGGUAACCGGAGAAGAAGCCCCGGCUAACUUCGUGCCAGCCGCCGCAGUAACAC
rnacentral:rRNA from 1 species